GCCGGCGUAGCUCAGUGGUAGAGCAUCCGCCUUGUAAGCGGGAGGUCAGGGGUUCGAAUCCCCUCGCCGGCUCCA
rnacentral:tRNA from 1 species